CCAUUUGUAUCCAUCCGGGUCAGGGUAUAUUCAUCGGACCCAUUCUUCUUUCAGUUUCAGCAGUGGCUUCCAUACCGAAUCUAGGAGAUAGACUAGUGUUAUUCUACAAGGAGAUUACACAGGCAAAUAUGGACUUCUUAGUUUCCUGGUUGAGCACUAUGCAAAACAGGAG